GCACUGCUGAUGAGUCCCAUAAUAGGACGAAACGGCCGUCCAGUGC
rfam:Schistosoma mansoni strain Puerto Rico chromosome 2, complete genome